rnacentral:rRNA from 1 species
UACGGAGGGUGCAAGCGUUACUCGGAAUCACUGGGCGUAAAGCGCGCGCAGGCGGCCUUUUAAGUUGGAUGUGAAAGCCUAUGGCUCAACCAUAGAACUGCAUCCAAAACUAUUGGGCUAGAGUGUGGGAGAGGAAGAUGGAAUUAGUUGUGUAGGGGUAAAAUCCGUAGAGAUAACUAGGAAUACCAAAAGCGAAGGCAAUCUUCUGGAACAUUACUGACGCUGAGGCGCGAAAGCGUGGGGAGCAAACAGGAUUAGAUACCCUGGUAGUCCACGCCCUAAACGAUGAAUGUUAGUCGUCGGGAAGCUAGUCUUUUCGGUGAUGCAGCUAACGCAUUAAACAUUCCGCCUGGGGAGUACGGUCGCAAGAUUAAA